GAGAGCACAGUACAAUGAAAUUUUUAAGCUGUGUUCGGGGGGGGGGGGGAGUUAUUGUCUAUCGUUGGCCUCUAUGGUAGAACCCGUCGGGGAGGCCUGAGAGGCGGUGGUUUACCCUGU
rfam:Triticum aestivum genome assembly, contig: Triticum_aestivum_CS42_TGACv1_scaffold_570793_7AS